AGGCCAGUCUUUAGGGGUGUCAGCCUGAAGAGUCAUGACCAACCAGUUCUGAAGAAGUCAAGGGCUCUGCCUGUGGCACUGAUCCAAGGGUGACUCAGAGGGAAGAUUGCCAUCCACCCAGUCACAAACAAUCCUUUUCGAAGCUCUGGUGGAUUUGCUUUGAAGGACUCUUGUCUUAGUAUUGACCAAGGCCUUGCUCAGCUUAUGAGAUUUGACAAGAACACAGGCCAGAGUGGGAUGGCUUCAUGGCUUGUCAGUGACCAGGAAGUAACAGAAAAGCCACUUGAGGAUAUUGAAAAAGAAAGUGAUCUGUUCAGAUCAGAGUUGUGAUUUCAGAAAAUAACACUGGCAAUCAGGUAAAGGAUGGAAAGGAGUAGAGGGAGAUUUGAGGCAAGGAAGUCAAUUAGAAGCCUGUUGGAAUACUACAUCUGGGAGGAGGUGAUGGCCUGAACUAGGGUAGUGGAAAGAAUGGGGUGAGUAUGAGAGAUUCAAAAAGAGACAUGAUAAGAUCAGGCAACAGAGUUAUUAUGUGGUGUGAAUAUGAAAUGAAGUUUGUAAAACUGGGCACCUAGAAAUAAUUAGGAAACUUUAGAGAAGAGUUGGGUUUUAGGUGAAAAUAUAUAAGUUCUCUUUGGGAAAUUCAAAAUUUGAGAUUCAAAUAUAGGCUAUGGAGUUAGAAAUGUCCAAAUAGACAAUUCACAAUUUGGGACUAGAGUUCAAAAAUAAUAAUAGGGCUAAUUAUCUUUGCAUCUAUAUCUAAAUAGAUAGACAACAGUUAGACAGCAGUUUAGAUGAUUCAUAGAUAUGAGAAUUAUUUUCA
rnacentral:lncRNA from 1 species